AUACUUGGGAAAAAAUUGCUUCUGGGGAUGUCAGAGUUGAAGUAAAGAUAGAUGCUGAAACUAGUGGUGGUGAUACCGAUCUUUACAUGUCCAAGCAUCCUCUUAUAUUUCCAACUCGGCAUCAACAUGAAUGGUCUUCUCAUGAUGUGGGGUCAAAAGUUUUGAUCCUUAGCUCCAAGGAUAAGAACUUUGGUGUGGGUGCUUACAGCAUUGGUAUAUAUGGUUUCAAGGGAACGACAAAGUGUAAGGUAUUGGUUAGCGUUGAAAAUAAUAUUAGUCUUAAGAUGGGUCAACAAGCUGGAUCUUCAUCAUCUGUGGAGAUUGAUACUGUAGAGUG
rnacentral:misc_RNA from 1 species